UGGGGAAUAUUGCACAAUGGGCGCAAGCCUGAUGCAGCCAUGCCGCGUGUAUGAAGAAGGCCCUAGGGUUGUAAAGUACUUUCAGUCGGGAGGAAGGCGUUGAUGCUAAUAUCAUCAACGAUUGUCGUUACCGACAGAAGAAGCACCGGCUAACUCCGUGCCAGCAGCCGCGGUAAUACGGAGGGUGCAAGCGUUAUCGGAAUUACUGGGCGUAAAGCGCACGCAGGCGGUUGAUUUAAGUUUAGAUGUGAAAUCCCCCGGGCUUAACCUGGGAUGGCAUCUAAGACUGGUCAGCUAGAGUCUUGUAGAGGGGGGUAGAAUUCCAUGUGUAGCGGUGAAAUUGCGUAGAGAUGUGGAGGAAUACCGGUGGCGAAGGCGGCCCCUGACAAAGACUGACGCUCAGGUGCGAAAGCGUGGGAGCAAACA
rnacentral:rRNA from 1 species